rnacentral:lncRNA from 1 species
UUUCGGAGAUCGAUGGCAUUGUCUGUGGCGCUGCUCAUGGCGCUCAUCCUGGCUGCGAGCUCGCUAGCGAGCGACUCCUGGAGGGCACGCAGGAUCUGGCUGUUGAGGUAGAGCGGGAGGAGAGCGUCGAGGAUCUGGACGGGGUCCUGCUCGAACUGGACGACGGGGGAGAAGGGCUGCAUCUCGAUCUUGAUCUUCUCGCGCUCCACGGUGAGCUUGCCUUCCUUGGUGGUGAGCUUGAAGAGCUCGUCCUCGGUGGCGUCGACACAGAUGCCGUUGACGUCGCAGAUCUCGCCCUUAGGGGACAUGGGCAGCAGCGUCUGGAUGAUGGGGUCGGAGCGGACGAGGUUGACGAACUUGGAGUAAACGAGCUCCACCUUGUCGACCUCCUCGGCGACAAAGAGGGAGUAGAUAAGGUCGCAAAUGGCCUGCGAGUCCUUGACGGUGGGGAUGCCGGCGAGCUCGAGGAAGCGCUCGGUGGGGAUGUAGUCGCGGCGCUGGAAGUAGGCGUUGCCCUUCUUGCCAACGCUGAUGACUUUGUACUCGACGCCCAGCUGCCUGAGGUCCUCCAUGCGGGCCUCGGCCUUCUUGAGCACGUUGUUGUUGAAGGCGCCGCAUAGGCCACGCUCGCCGGUGAGGACGACGAUCGCGACGCGCUUGACGGCGCGCUGGCGGGUGAGGGGCAGGUCGAUGUCCUCCGACUGGAUCUCCUGGUUCAUGUUGUAGAGCACCUCCACCAGAGCCUCCGAGAAGGGGCGGGAGGAGACCACGGCCUCCUGCGCGCGACGGACCUUGGCGGCGGCCACCAGCUUCAUCGCCUCCGUGAUCUUCUGCGUGUUGCGGACAGAGUCGAUGCGGUUGCGGAGGUCCCGGAGGGAGCACCGCACCACCAGGCUGCUGCCGGUGGAGGCGCGGCGGCGGGUGGAAGUGCUGGCAAGCGCGGAUGAGGACCACGCGGUGGAGAGGCGGGAGCACGACAUGGCUGGCUAGCGGCUGGGGCGUCACCGGCGGCCGCAGAGGCGGAGGCGGAGGCGGAGAAAGGAGAAAGGAUGGGAGGGAGGGAAAGAUUUUGGAUUGGGUUUGGGUGGAGAAGUGAGCAGGUGGGGUUUUCAAGCCGGGCUGAGUGGUGGAGGGCUAGUCACUGCGAGAUUGCCACGGAUCAUGUGGCGCGCCCUGGCCGCCUACCCUGCACCUUGCCUGCUUCCAUUUCUCUAUUCAUAUUAUUAUUUUUUGCCUUGCCAAAUAAAUAAAACUCAUAAAACUACAGCGAGAAGGGAACUUCUCUAUGGGAGAGGACAGGAGUGGAUACACUGCGGAUAUACUACAGUAGAUACUUACCCCAAGUGAAUCAAAAUUCGAAUUUUCUUUUUCAUACAAAAAUCUUGUAAAAUUCCACAGUUGGAAAAAGGCCAGGUGCAGCAUACCGAUAUUAUCCGGUGAUACAAGCAUAUAUAGGCUUGAUGAUGAAAUGCAAACAACUUUAUAAAGGAAAAGCACUGAUCCUCCUAAUCAGUCAGCAGGCUGAGGCUCUUGGCUGGAAGGUUUGUACACACUGAAGUCGCCGAAAUCCCUUCUUCCACUGCAAAGAAAAUUCUCGGUAAAUGAAUAUCUUGAUUUCAAAUGAAAAAAAAAAAUUGGAGGAAAGAGCAUCACGAUUCACAGAGAGAGGGAGAGGGAGAGAGAGCGAUCGAACUUCUAAGGCCACUGGUACAGGUAGGGCGGCCAUUCCAAGCACAAACAAGUUUCAUGUGUUGAGCAAUUAACCAACCAAGCAGCAAAAGGUGAUCCUUUUUUACCUGUGCUUUAUAUUCCAACCAGAAGGGAGAUAACGGGGGUGAACCGCUUCGACAAAAACAUGCCUCCAUCUUUGGCAAAACUGGUGAACAGCCUCCUCCCCACCGUUGGUCAGCAAAAGCUCGACGACUUGUUUACCAUGGUGCCCGUGUCCUAGAAGUGAUAUCUUCUUGUCAGCAUUUUUGGAAAUAGUUUGGCUAGAAUUGUCACUGCUGGCUGGAUCCUCGUCGAGAUGGCCAUUUUCCUGAGUACCACUUGGUCGCUGCAUGCCAUCUGACCCAAGCUUCUCCGUGUUAGGGUCACAAGUGGAAUCAUCUAUACUGGCUGACAAACUUGCACUCUGGAUCACAGUUAAUUCUUCGGCCUGGAUAUUACACCCAGUCCCGUCAGCAUCUUGUUGACCACUGCUCCCAUUCCCAUCUUCUGAAACUUGCUCUGAUAAAGCAUGCCUAUUUUCUGAAUCAUGCGCCAUGUCUUCUAAGAUGGCCUUGUUGCUGCUCUUUCUUACAAUGUUUUCAGUCUGGGCUCUAAAAGAAUGAGGAUACCCUUUUUUCUUUUCAAGCCUCCUUCGCUCUUGGGGGCUCAUACCUACCAGUAAUGCCAUCUCCAGGUCUUCGGGAGUCACAUCCCUACCACCGUAGUAUGACUUCACAGUCUGCAACGAAAUGAAUGUAUCGGUAACACAGAUCUACCGCUAAGAACCAAUACAUUUUUAAUCAGGAAAAAAAUAGGGUCUUUUACAUUUGUGUCCCUAACUCGAACCCACGUAGUACAGGAAUAUUGACCUGUUGUCCAUCGACUACNAAUUUUAAAGCAUGCUCAAAUUUGCCCUUCUGCUGUUAUGUGACCUUACAGAAAUGCCCUUCCAUGCCGUUUCCGUCCAGUCAAAGGCCUCUGACCGUCUACCGGACGUUUCCUGGACAAUUUGCCCCUGCCUCCAUGUGUCACUUACAUGUGGGACCCACUCAUAAAAAAAUNGGUCAUUGUUCUAUUAUUUUCUUAAAUGUUGUUUACUGAUUUAUUUGAUGAGUGGACCCACUUGUCAGCUUCUGUAAAGUGAGUGUUAAUUAAAACUAAUAAGGGUUUACGGUAAUCUGGGAUUAGGCUAAUUAAAAACACGCCGGUGCCCACGCAUGAAGACACGGCGACCAUGUACGGGAGGACCCCGGAGCUGUCGAGCGGCUGCAAAAUCGGGCUAGCGAGGAUGCGAGAGAGAAGAUUCAGUGGCCUGAGGUGGCUGGAGAGUGGGGUGCCCAAUGUUAGAGUUAUAAUAUAAGUCAUGUACCCCUUUGUAUUUAUCCCAUUGUAUAAGGGGUUUCCUGCAUAUGUUCCAACCUGUACAUGUAUAUAUAUCGGCCUAUGGCCUCAUGGGAAUACAAGUUGCUUAUUUCUAACAUGGUAUUAGAGCAUUAGGUUUUUUCUCUCCGCACGCGCAACUCGUGCUCUGAUCCAAUCUUCACGCAGCCGCCGUCUGUCUGCUGCUGCCGGAUCUCGCUGCUACCUCUCGAUCUCCUCCUAUGGCUGCUUCUCGCUCUACAGCAGGUGCCGGAUUGAGCCACCCAAGCCGCCGGAUCCAGCCCCUGCCUCGUCCUUGCUGGAUCUCGCUACCCCAUCUGCCAGAUCACCAGUGCUGGCCAGAUCGAGAUAGCACCAGCGCGCAGUAAGCAUCCUCGUCUGCCUCAAGGACCUCCCCGAGAUCGUCUACUGCAUCCUCCACCACCUCCGCGGCAUCCGCGGGCUCGGCAAGUCUGACCGGGAGGGCUUCUACGCCGCUGCGCUCUGACAGGUUCGGCUGCCUCAAGGACCUUCCCAAGAUCGACUACCGCCGGGUCCUUCUCCUGCUGCUGACUCGAUCUGCAGUCCUCCUCAUCUUCACGUGUUGCAUCAGCCGCUCCACCAGCAUAUGCCGCGUCUGCACGUCGUCAUGCUCCAGGGCGUGCGGUUUUGCACUCCCGAUCGGAUCUGGUUUUCCCUGGUCGUUGACCUCUAAGAAAAUGGUCUACACCAACACGCAACGUUGCAGUCCCUUGCUUCCCGUGACUCCUGACGGUUGUGUUGGUAGUUCUUCUGUUGCUCCUGCAAGCUCUACAUAUGGUAAUUGUCGCUCUACACCGACUCCUCUCACGACUUUCAUCGGUGCAUGUCGCUCUUCCCAGACACCUCUUGCGACUUUCACCGGUUGUCAUGGUGCCUAUGACUCCAUGGACUGCUCUUCGUCCACGCGUCUUCCCUUGGCGCUUGGUGCUUGUCUGCACACGGCCUUGUCUUCUUCACCGGUCUUUGCCGACGAUACUGGACAUGCUACACCGCCACAUUUAGCGGCUUCCACAGGUGGUGGUGGUUGCUUCUCUCCUCGUGCCAUUACGCCGCCUACUUCAGCUGUGUUCUUCACCGAGGACGAGAUUGCGCGACUUCGCGCCGUGCUGCUUGCCUUCGACUCUCCGUUGUCGGGUGUGUCUACAUCGACAUCUUCAGUUGCGCCCUGACUGAGCAGGAGAUUGGACGAUUUCAAUGUCUGCUAGCUCCAUCUGUUGUUUCUUCAUCGACAGGUUCUGUUGGUUCUGCUACGGACUCUUCUGGCAUUGUGAGACCACCUUCUACCCACACAGGUACAUCUCUGUGGGUUCUUGAUACUGGAGCAUCUUUUCAUAUGACUCCUGAUUCAUCCACUCUAUCAUCUACUCGACCUCUUGAUUCUCCUGUUCGUGUUCUUACUGCUGAUGGUACUUCUCUCCCGGUUACUGGCCGAGGCACUCUUAGCACUUCAUCUUUUCAUGUUCCCGAUGUUGCUCAUGUUCCUCGGCUUACCAUGCAGCUCCUUUCUGGUGGCCAGAUUGUUGACUCUGAUUGUCGGGUCAUUCUUGACUUUGACUCAUGUUCAGUUCUGGACCGUCACAUUGGUGCUCUUCUUGGUGCUGGCCCCCGGCGCCGUGACUCUCAGGGUCUCUGGGAGCUUGACUGGCUUCACCUUCCAUCCGCUGCCACCGCAGCUAGUCUCUCCUCCUCUGUUGCCUUGUCUACCAGCUCUUUUCAAGAGUGGCAUAAUCGUCUGGGUCAUUUAUGUGGCUCUCGUCUCUCAUCCUUAGUUCGACGUGGUCUUCUUGGAUCCAUCUCCGGUGGUGUGUCUUUAGACUAUCAGGGCUGCCGGCUUGGUAAACAGGUUCAGUUACCUUAUCCUCAUAGCGACACUGUGUCUCAGCGUCCUUUUGACCUUGUUCACUCCGAUGUUUGGGGUCCAGCUCCCUUUUCCUCGAAGGGAGGCCAUCGCUACUAUAUUAUCUUUAUAGAUGAUUUCUCUCGAUACACGUGGAUCUAUUUUAUGUCUUCUCGUAGUGAGGUAUUAUCUAUCUAUAAGCGUUUUGCUGCCAUGGUUCACACUCAAUUCUCUACGCCUAUUCAUGUGUUCCGUGCUGACUCUGCUGGAGAGUAUAUCUCCAAGAUGUUGCGUGGAUUUCUCGCUGAGCAGGGUACACUUGCUCAGUUCUCUUGUCCUGGUGCUCAUGCUCAGAAUGGUGUGGCUGAGCGCAAGCAUCGUCACCUUCUUGAGACGGCUCGUGCGAUGAUGGUUGCUGCCUCUCUUCCGCUCAUUUCUGGGCUGAGGCCGUCUCCACCUCCACCUAUCUCAUCAAUCUACAACCUUCUGCUGCUCUACAGGGUGGUGUUCCUUUUGAGCGUCUCUUUGAUCGUUCUCCCGAUUAUUCGAUGCUUCGCGUGUUUGGUUGUGUCUGCUAUGUUCUUCUUGCCCCUCGCGAACGCACCAAACUGACCGCUCAGUCUGUUGAGUGUGUCUUCUUAGGCUACAGUGAUGAGCAUAAGGGCUAUCGUUGUUGGGAUCCUAUCGGUCGUCGGAUGCGUAUCUCUCGGGACGUGACUUUUGACGAGUCUCGUCCCUUCUACCCACGCCCAUCUUCCUCGACCUUUUCAGUGGAGGAUAUCUCUUUCCUCACUUUUCCAGAUACACCUCUCACCCCCAUCGAGCCUUUGCCUAUUCGUUCCGCUCCCUCUGCUUCUCCACCUCCUGUCGAUUUGCUACCACCAUCUCCCACGGUUUCCUCUCCUGGCAUGUCACCGGAUUCUGCACCUUCAUCUCCGAUGACUUCUACAUCUUCACCCCUCGAUUCUACCUUGGCGAUCCCCCCUUGCAUUGUUCCAUCUUUUCCUCAGUGUUACACUUGUCGUUCACGUCAUGUGGAUGCCUUUGCGAAUGCCCCUGUGGAUGUGUCGUCAUCCUCAUCUCAGCCUCCCUAUGCCUUGCAUUCUCGCCCUCGUCCGCCUGUUGAUCGCCUUGGAUUUCCCACCGUUGGUGCUGCUGUUCUUGAGCCGACUUCCUAUCAUCAGGUCGUUGUUCAUCCUGAAUGGCAGUUUGCGAUGGCAGAGGAGAUUGCUGCUCUUGAACGCACUGGUACGUGGGAUCUUGUUUCACUUCCUCCCGGAGUCCGUCCCAUCACUUGUUAGUGGGUCUACAAGAUUAAGACUCGCUCCGAUGGUUCUCUUGAGCGUCACAAAGCUCGUCUUGUGGCUCGUGGUUUUCAGCAGGAGCAUGGUCGUGAUUAUGACGAGACUUUUGCUCCUGUGACCCAUAUGACCAUUGUUCGUACACUUCUUGCCGUGGCCUCUGCACGCCACUGGUCUAUAUCUUAGCUUGAUGUUAAGAAUGCCUUUCUUAAUGGUGAGCUGCGUGAGGAGGUGUACAUGCAGCCACCACCUGGGUAUUUUGUUCCUGAUGGCAAUGGUAUGUCGUCUUCGUCGCUCUCUCUGUGGCCUUAAGCAAGCCCCUCGCGCCUGGUUUGAGCGUUUUGCCUCUGUGGUGAUUGCCGCUGGUUUUUCAGCGAGUGCUCAUGAUCCAGCAUUGUUUAUUCACCUUUCUCCUCAUGGUCGGACUCUUCUUCUUCUCUAUGUUGAUGACAUGAUCAUCCUUGGGGAUGACCCCGAGUAUAUUGCCUUUGUAAAGGUCCGUCUUAGUGAGCAAUUUCUUAUGUAUGAUUUGUUAGGAAGUAUUAGUAUUAGUCUAGGAGUCCUUAUUAGUCUAUUAGUAUUAGUCUAGGAGUCCUUAUUAGUCUAUGUUUACUUUCAUUGCACCUCAAGUCUUGUGUAAUAUAUAUAUGCCCCUUGGGCCUUCAAUAAACAUAAGUUGCUUUCCUAACAUGGUAUUAGAGCCUUAGGUUUUUUUUCUCGCACGCGCAACUCGUGCUUUUCCCUCCUUGCCGCCGCGUUCUUCUUCCCGACCGCGUCGUGCUCCUGCUGCAGCCUCGGCGUCUCCAGAUCGAGGAUCUGCUACCGCCCCUGCCCUCCACCCUAGCCGCGCCAUCCUCUCCAGAUCGUGCCAGGAUCGCUGCUCUGCACUCCAGCCGGGCCGCCCUCUCCAGAUCGCCACGUCGUGCAGUCCAGAUCGAGGAUCUGGACGCCUCGCGCUGCCUCCAGCCCAGAUCGGGACGCCCCGCGCUACCUCCAGUCCAGCUCGCGAAUAGUCUUCGCUCUGGAAUAACCACGCUUCACUCCGCGUUGACUCCAGAUCACGUUGUAUCUCCCGCAUCAACUACCUCGCUCUGGAGGCCGCUGUUGCUACUCGAUCUGGUGAUUCCCGCUGGACUGCUCCAUCUGUCCCUACUGGAUCUCGAUCUGGACUGAUCCUCGAAGAAAAAAAAAUGUUUGCUGCAUUCGGCUACGUUGUUGUUCCUCGUUGUCCGGUGAUCUUUGAUGGCACUAACUACACCGAGUUCAUUGGCUUCAUGCGCAUUCACAUGCGUGGCAUCCGUCUAUGGGGUUUUCUUUCUGGCGAGGUCUGUUGUCCGCCAUGUCCGGUUCCUCCCAUGGCUCCUACUCCGCCGACCCAACCGGCUCUUCCUGCGGAUGCUCCUCAGGCCGCAAAGGAUGCGGCUAAGAUUGCUGAUGAGACCGUUGUAAGUGCUUAUGAUGAGAAGGUCUUGGCUUAUGAGGAGGCUCUUCAGGUGUAUCACGGUGCUCUGUCCGCUUACACCCAGUGGCUUGAUGAUGAUGCUCGUGCUGCAGCUGUUCUCACUGCUAGUGUUCUGCCUCAGUUUGCCUCUGAGUUUUUGGGCCUUCCUACUGCCUUUGAGAUGUGGACUCGCCUUCGUUAGCGCUAUGCGCCCUCUGGUGAUGCCUUAUACCUCUCCGUGGUUCGUCAGGAGCAUGCUCUUCAGCAGGGUGACUCUACUGUUGAUGACUUCUAUGCACAAAGUUCUGCUAUCUGGCGCCAGCUCGAUUCUCUCCGCACUGCUGGUUGUCGUACUUGCCCCUGUUGCCAGGCUGUCCAGGCCAACUUGGAGUUUCAUCGCAUCUACGAGUUCCUGUCUUGGCUCCGUAAGGAGUUUGAGCCCCGGCGUGCUCAGUUGUUUGCUCGUGGCCGUAUUUCUCUCAUGGAGGCGCUUUCUGAGAUUCGUGCUGGGGAGACUCGCUUACGUGGUGCUGGUUUGCUGGAGGUUCCCUCGGUGCUCGCUGCUCGGGCUACUUUUACGCCCCCUGCUGCACUGACCCCUUCUCACUCGAGUGCUCCGCCGCUCUUGCCCACUCCUUCUGGAGGCUCAGGUCGCCCCCGUCCACAUUGUAGCUACUUCAACAAUGAUGGUCAUAUUGAGUCCCACUGCUACACGAAGAAGAAACACUUGCGCCAGGCGCAAUCAUCAUCUACAGAGACUUCGUCAUCUACCUCGACAGCUUCAGCCAUCGCUUUGACUGAGCAGGAUAUUCUGAGACUUAAGCGUCUGCUCGCUGCUUCAGGUUCUUCCUCGACGGGUACUGCUGGUUUUGUGACUGAGGCUUCCCGCACUGAGCAACCACCUUUUACACAGUCAGGACCGUCUCCUGCACACUCUGGUUGGAAUUGGCCUUCACCGCCAUGAUAUUAUUUUUUCUCUUCCGCUGCCAUCAUCCCUAAUCUAGUGUGUGUUUUCUAGUUUUCUUUGUUUUCCGCUGCGUCCACCAAAUCCGUUGAUAUUUUUUGUUUUCUCAUGCCAUGCGAGUCCACCAUACCUUAGUCCUUUAGCCUUUCUCCGGUCCUGAUCCUUUCUAUGCAACUUUUGUGGCCUACCUGCCCUUGUUGUUUUCUAUAGGAUUUUCUGGACUUCUUUUUGCAUUGUCGAUCUACGUCCAUCGUGCCUUAUCCGCCGAGCUUCUUUCGACGACGGUUGUCAUGGACUAUGGUUUUCUACGCAAUGCUUUCUUCUCUUGAUGUGACAUCUUCUUUUGACAACCCACCUUCUCUUGAUACUUAUGUUGUAUCUUCAAGUGAUGCGGUGUCUUCCUCUGAUGUGCCAACUCUUCGGUGUCUUCCUCUUGAUGUGCAAUCUUCUUUUGACAACCCAUCUUCUCUUGAUACUUUAUCUUGUAUCUUCAAGUGAUGCGGUGUCACAUCUGAUGUGCCAUCUCUUCGUUCUCUCCUUCGGCGACUCGACAAGUUUUGAAGACUCUUCAUGCUAUGACGACACUCUCAAGACGCGGAUUUGGAUUAUCAUUUUUUUAGUAUUACACUUGUUCAAAUGCAAUGCUAUUGCAUACGCUUUGCAUUUGAGGGGGGGUGUUAGGAAGUAUUAGUAUUAGUCUAGGAGUCCUUAUUAGUCUAUGUUUACUUUCCUUGCACCUCAAGUCUUGUGUAAUAUAUAUAUGCCCCUUGGGCCUUCAAUAAACAUAAGUUGCUUUCCUAACAUGAUCUUGGACCUCUUCGCUACUUUCUUGGGAUUGAAGUCUCUUCUACCUCUGAUGGCUUUUUUAUAUCCUAGGAAAAGUAUAUCCAGGAUCUUCUUGCUCGUGUUGCUCUUACUGACGAGCGCAUUGUUGAGACUCCUAUGGAGCUCAAUGUUCACCUCCGUGCUACUGAUGGUAAUCCCUUGCCUGACCCAACGCGUUAUCAUCAUCUUGUUGGCAGUCUUGUCUAUCUAGUUGUCACUCGUCCGGAUAUCUCUUAUCCGGUUCAUAUUCUGAGUCAGUUCGACUCCGCUCCCACAUUGGUUCACUACAGUCAUCUCCUUCGUGUUCUCCGAUAUCUUCGGGGCACGAUCUCUCACCGUCUAUUCUUUCCUCGCUCAAGUUCUUUACAGCUUCAGGCCUAUUCGGAUGCUACGUGGGCUCAAUGUUCGCCUCGGUGAAAAGUAUAUCCAGGAUCUUCUUGUUCGUGUUGCUCUUACUGACGAGCGCACUGUUGAGACUCCUAUGGAGCUCAAUGUUCACCUCCGUGCUACUGAUGGUAAUCUCUUGCCUGACCCGACGCGUUAUCGUCAUCUUGUUGGCAGUCUUGUCUAUCUAGCUGUCACUCGUCCGGACAUCUCUUAUCCGGUUCAUAUUCUGAGUCAGUUCGUCUCCGCUCCCACAUUAGUUCACUACAGUCAUCUCCUUCGUGUUCUCCGAUAUCUUCGGGGCACGAUCUCUCACCAUCUAUUCUUUCCUCGCUCCAGUUCUUUACAGCUUCAGGCCUAUUCGGAUGCUACAUGGGUUAGUGAUCCUUCAGAUCGCCGUUCACUUUCUGUUUACUGUGUGUUUCUUGAUGGUUCUCUCAUUGCCUGGAAGACGAAGAAACAGAUUGCAGUUUCCCGUUCGAGUGCAGAGGCUGAGUUGCGAGCGAUGGCUCUUUUGACGGCAGAGGUGACUUGCUUACGGUGGUUGCUUCAGGAUUUUGGUGUUUCUGUCACUACACCGACUCUGCUCUUAUCUGACAGUACAGGUGCUCUUAGCAUUGCGCGUGAUCCCGUGAAGCAUGAGCUCACCAAGCAUAUCGGUGUUGAUGCUUUCUAUGUGCGCGCUGGUGUGCAGGAUCAGGUUAUUGCUCUUCAGUAUGUGCCUUCCGAGUUACACUUGGCGGAUUUCCUGACGAAGGCCCAGACUAGAGCACAACAUGGCUUUUAUCUCUCCAAACUCAGUGUUAUUCAUCCACCAUGAGUUUGAGGGGGGGUGUUAGAGUUAUAAUAUAAGUCAUGUACCCCUUUGUAUUUAUCCCGUUGUAUAAGGGGUUUCCGGCAUAUGUUCCACACCUGUACAUGUAUAUAUAUCGUCCUAUGGCCUCAUGGGAAUACAAGUUGCUUAUUCCUAACACCCAAGAGGAUGGACAGUUGCGAGCUUGAGCAGCGGCGACGGGAGGCGCUCGCCGGUAGAGGUGCUAGGGGAGGCGAGGAUAAUUGGGAGCCGGUGGAGGAUGUUCAGGAGGAGAUGUCGGAGCUCAAGAACCCGAGGUAAGCCUGCGGUGCUCACGGGUGGAGGAGAUCAGGCAGUGGCUGCGUGACACCGGAGCUGCGUGAUCGGGCAGCGGCUGCCCAGGAGGAAGGAUCCAUCACUAUGGGACGUUUCAAUCCAAUUAACCCCAAAGGAAGACGAAUUGGAGAGCGGUGGGCCUAUCAGACAUUUUAUUGGAGCUCCGCGUUCUCGUUGGACAUGUGCGCGAGUCAACGCCGGCGAUGGUUGCUUUGAUAUUCCCUGGCAAGAGAGAGAGAGGGAGAGGGCGGCGGAGUGAUGGCGAGUAGUGGGUUCGAGUUAGGGACAGAAACGUAAAAGACCCCAAAAAAAUACUGCAAGUGAUAGACAAAGCCAGAAAUACUAGAAGGAUGUUCGCACCUGCAUUAGCUCUUCACAUCUCUUCAAAGGCAUAGUGGAUCCAUGCCGCAGAAGGGCCAUUGCAGCAGUCCUCAGCAGCAAAGGUGACACACCCUUUUCAUUCAAUUUAUCUUCAGAUACUGAUGCAUCGGUUAUUAAACUUCUAUCACCCGAGUUCACUAUUUUUUGUACAAAAAGGGGUAUUCCCAAUUCUUCUGCCAGUCGCCUCUUGUAUUUCUCAGCAGCUGAAUGAGCAAUUUCAUGGCAAUCCACACACAGAAGUACAAUAUCAUGUGAACGAUGGCUCUUCAGAUGCUCCGGAAAGUGCAUCCUGUAGCAAGAUGGUAUUAUUCUAUAUCUGAUAUAGUGGCUUUUUUCUCCACAUCCAACACAAAUAUUUUUUUUGCUCUGAAUAUAAAAUUCAUUAUCUUCAUCCUCGGGACGACCCUUAGGUUCAAACAGAAGCAUUAUUCCUGGAGGAUUAUCUUCUACUAACUUUGCCAAAUCCCGUUGAAUAUACCUGGGAAAUAAAAUCAAUCAGUUUGACAAAAUAACUACUCCCUCUGUCCCAAAAUUCUUGUCUUAACUUUGUCUAGAAAUGAAUGUAUCUAAAUACUAAAACUUGACUAGAUACAUUAAUAUCUAAACAAAUCUAAGACAAGAAUUUUGGGACAGAGGGAGUAUGAUAUUAGUGUCACAUACUUUUAUAACAACUUAUGUAGCAUUUAAGAGACAAACCAUUCCAACUUUUUGCGGUCACAGUAGCAAAGUAGUCUUCCAUCACUAGCGUAGAUCCUGCAAUUGUGAUAAACUGGGGACUUACAUGAAAACUUUUUAAUGAAUGAUUCCCGGGAAGCCUUUUUGUUAGGUGGUGCUGUCAACAACUUUUCUCCACUUGAUGCAAAAGCAAAUAUAUUUGCUUGCUUCAAAGUUAGCUGUGAUACAAGGUUAUAAUUGUAAACUGAUAGUCGACAUAAUCCACUUGGUUCUUUAUACUUCCCAAGCAAAGUUGUAAAUAAGUUAUCCAUGCUGACAGUGGUAUCCUCAAUCAGAUAGCAGAGUUCUUCAAUGUGAGCGACAACUACAGGGGAUGGUGACGACAAAGGAUGUAUAGUUGAAGCACUUGGCUCUGUUUCUGCUAUGACAGCACACAUCUCCGUUCUAUCUUUUGGAACUCUUACAGCAAUGGCAGCUAUAGCCUGGUCUGACAGGAUAUACCGCAAGCUUUCAUCAUGCAUGCGAGCCUGGAAUGAGAUCCCAAGACAUUUGAAGAAAUUAGAAAGGAGAAAAGACUAGAAGGCCCAGAACCACAAUAAUGCAGAUAUGCAAUUUUUUAACAUAAUAUACCUUCAAUAGGAGAAAAGGAACUCAAGAAAAUACGAGCGGCUGUGCAGAAAUAUGUUAAUUAUGUUAAGCUUCAUGCACUAGCCAACGCAACCAAAAGUCCAAACUGAUGAAAAGGGCUAGGCAAUCCACAUAUAGUGUAACACCCCCUCUCACUUAUGACAGGGAAGACAAGUCAACACGUGCAACCGGAAGAGAGUGACGGCGCGCGAAGCUCACGUAUGACUCAAGAGGCCUAGCCAGGACUUGAACUCAAGACCUUAGCUCUGAUACCAUGUUAAGCUUCAUGCACUAGCCAACGCAACCAAAAGUCCAAACUGAUGGAAAGGGCUAGGCAAUCCACAUAUAGUGUAACAAAUUAUAAUCUAUGCAUGAGUAAUCUGAUCCAGCUAAUGUCAUGUAGACCAUGCCUAUUCACGCCGCUACAAGGUCCCAUCGGGUUUGUUGGCUUAGCCUCCAACGCAGGUGUGGUUAUAUUCUACCAAAAUUUAUUUAUUUGAUUUGGUUUGUUCUAAGUUGGUCACUUUCUAUACCCUUAAAAUGUUUCCAAACUUCUCAUAUAUCUAAUCCCUCUAUGAAAAGAACAAAGAAAUGUUCAAGAGACCAAUCUACACAAGAAGGAAGAUCAGGCUCGCUCCAAACACUGAGCUGCUUAUGUUGCCAAGUAUAAGCUGUUGCCAAGUAUAAGCUGCUACCAAGACACCACCGAGCCGAAGGCAGUGUUAGAGCAUUUCUAGUAGAACCCUCAAACCCUCGAAGCAGUUUUAAGGGUUGAGAAGUGCCAGUUUAUGGCACUUUUAAGGGUUGAAAAACAGGGGCAAAGACUAGAACCCUCAAACCCAACCCUUAAACUGUUUUAAGGGUUGGAUUUGAGGGUUCUAGUCUUUGCCUCAACCCCAACCUUUAAAACUAUCAUUUUAUAUAUCACACAUUUCAUCAUAUGACAUAUCACAAAUUCCAUCACAUUUGACAUAAAACAAUAAUCAUUCUAGUUAUUAUNNNNNNNNNNNNNNNNNNNNNNNNNNNNNNNNNNNNNNNNNNNNNNNNGACUGGCGGCGGGGCGGCGGACUGGCGGCGGCGGCGGCGGAUUCGGGGGAAGAGACGAGCGCGGGGAAGCAACUUCCUCCCGCGCGAAGGUGGAAAUGGAGUGCGGGUUGGGGGGAGUUUUUCCUCCCAACCCUCACUUCUACAGGCUGGGAAGGUGUUUGAGGGUUGGACCUCUAAAAUUUUUUACGGGUUUAAGGGUUCUAGUCUACGCCGUUUUUUCGACGAAAACUGUAAAAAAAACGGUUAUUUUUAAGGGUUUGAGAGUUUGAGGGCUCUACUAGACUUGCUCUUACUACCUUGUCCCUUAACCUACCACAGCUACACUGCUACAACCUAGACUUGCAACUAACAAGGUUCAACAAAUGAAAGAGCAUAGUCCAACAGAAAUGCAAAAAACAAUCAGAAUGGGAAAUAAAAUUAUGUUGGCUGACCAUUAAGUCCCUCCACGCGCAAAUUUUCCGAACAAGAUCCUACAUAAGAUUAAAUUGUUUAGAACUUAAAAAAUCACUGGUGAGCUGGCUGACCAGAUGCAUAAAAAAAGGAAAACAAGCACCUUCACUUCACUAGAUUUCUUGGAGUCAAGUCCAUGAGUUUGUACAUUUCUUGAGAGAAUAGAUGCUGCAGAGGAAGCUCCUGGACGACAUUCAAUUUCCUUUGUAUAUAGUUGCAUGCACACCAUGUUUGAACGACGGCAAGCCUCCAAGAAAAAAUUGAUUUUACCAUCGGGAGAAUCUGAAGCAUAAUUGAUAUUACAACCGGUCAAAAACAAAAAUUACGUAGCGGGGGGGGGGGGGGGGGGGGGGGGGGGGGGGGGGGGGGGGGGGGGGGGGGGGGGGGGGGGGGGGGGGGGGGGGGGGGGGGGGGGGGGGGGGGGGGGGGGGGGGGGGGGGGGGGGGGGGGGGGGGGGGGGGGGGGGGGGGGGGGGGGGGGGGGGGGGGGGGGGGGGGGGGGGGGGGGGGGGGGGGGGGGGGGGGGGGGGGGGGGGGGGGGGGGGGGGGGGGGGGGGGGGGGGGGGGGGGGGGGGGGGGGGGGGGGGGGGGGGGGGGGGGGGGGGGGGGGGGGGGGGGGGGGGGGGGGGGGGGGGGGGGGGGGGGGGGGGGGGGGGGGGGGGGGGGGGGGGGGGGGGGGGGGGGGGGGGGGGGGGGGGGGGGGGGGGGGGGGGGGGGGGGGGGGGGGGGGGGGGGGGGGGGGGGGGGGGGGGGGGGGGGGGGGGGGGGGGGGUAUUAAUAUACUAUUGUCUGACUUGAUUUUAAAAUGCCAGCAAGAUGUGGAGUGGAGUAAAAACGUAAAACAUUAUUUUGGCAGUUGAGCAAUAGAGUAUCGUCAGUUCAUUAUAAAAUCUUCUUUUAUCGGUCCCGUAAUGUUAGUUUCAUUGCUUAACAAUAGAAUGGAAAUGAACUCUCAUUUUCUUGGCCCCCUUGAUGUAGUUCCAUUUCUUAAUCAUAGAUAAGGAUUGCAUACAAAGAAUACAUAGUUAAGAUCACUGAAUCUCCUUUUCUUGGCCCCCUUAACGUUGCUUUUGUUUCUUAACUAUAGAUCAAGAAUGCAUACACAUAUUUAAGACUGUUUAUUUUGCUUAAGCUUCUGUUGAGGUCAUCAAAGAUACUUGUCAAAAGAAUAAAAAUAUAAGCCUCCAGUUUUUGCACAUCAACAUAAAGUUGUAGUACCUAUUAACAUCUGCGGUAAGUUGUAAGUGCUCUCAGACAAAAAAAAAUAAGGAUACACAUUCAACAAGAUAAUGAAAAAUUCAAAAAUGUACAUAUUCGAAUAAUAUAUGCAAAUAUAAUUGUUGUGGACAAAAUAUGUCCAUUUGCAUUCUGUGCCCAAAAUAAUAUCAGUUUCCCUGUUCUAGUUGUACAGCACUGACAAGAAAAUUCAUUUAACAUGUACAUCUCCGAACUCUUUUCAAAAUAUGUAAGUGAUACGUUCGGAAAUUUCAAUCCACAUGCUUCCGGUUAAAAUCGCACUGACAAGAAAAUUCAUUUAACAUGUACAUCUCCGAACUCUUUUCAAAAUAUGUAAGUGAUACGUUCGGAAAUUUCAAUCCACAUGCUUCCGGUUAAAAUCCACAAUUCUUAAUGGGGCGAGCUAGGUGUCAGCCGGCUGACUCGCACCCCAAAUCAGCCGUCCCAACUACUACUACGAUUCGGCACUGUCGCCCAUCCGAUUCGUGACACGUAGCAUCACCAUCCACACCGACGCUAAGCAACAUCUUGUUGAAAUCGGGAGAGAGAGGUACCUUCAGACAGCCAAGCUCUCUUGUCUGGUUUCUCGCUUGACUGUUGUGUGUGUGUGGCGACUCUCGGACUCAGAACAAGGACGAGCUCCUCUCCCUUAGGUUAGAUAGUCACUAUGGGCCUGAGCCACUUGGGCCAGUAAUACAUGGGCCAUGAGCCCCUCAUCCAACACUCCCUCUCAAGAGGGGUGACAGAUAUCUAUCAUUCCCAUCUUGUCACAUGCUAGAUUGCAUUCUUUAGUUCCCAAUCCUUUAGUCAAACAAUCUGCAAUAUGUUGUCCAGAACCCACAUGCUCAAUCUUGAUGAUCCCAGCAUCAAGCUUUUCUUUGAUGAAGAAUCUGUCUAUUUCCACGUGCUUGGUUCUAUCAUGUUGCACUGGAUUGUGUGCUAUGUUGAUUGCUGAUUUGUCAUCACACCACACAUUCAUACAACUAGUCUUCAAUAUUUUCAAUUCUUCUAAUAAAUUUGGCAGUCACUCCGUAGCGGCGCCGCAUAUAAGUCUUACCGUGCGGCGGCCAACUAAUCUCCUUACUAAUGCAUUUUAAGUGUGGCACCUCCCGCCAAUCACUCUCUGGCCCUAAAAAACUGCCCGAUGGACCACAUGGAUGAGCUAUCCGGCGACUAAAAAACAUACAACACCACACGCAAGAUUCCCUUUCAUGUUUGAAAUUCAAAAAGUUUUAUCUACAAAACCGUUAAUUCAAUCGAUGAUCCGCUUUCACCACACAUUCAUACAACUAGUCUUCAAUAUUUUCAAUUCUUCUAAUAAAUUUGGCAGUCACUCCGUAGCGGCGCCGCAUAUAAGUCUUACCGUGCGGCGGCCAACUAAUCUCCUUACUAAUGCAUUUUAAGUGUGGCACCUCCUGCCAAUCACUCUCUAGCCCUAAAAAACUGAUGAGCUUGUUAGGAAAGCAACUUAUCUGUAUUGAAGGCCCAAGGGGCAUAUAUAUAUUACACAUGACUUGAGGUGCAAGGAAAGUAAACAUAGACUAAUAAGGACUCCUAGACUAAUACUAACAGACUAAUAAGGACUCCUAGACUAAUACUAAUACUUCCUAACAGAGCUAUCCGGUGACUAAAAAACAUACAACACCACACGCAAGAUUCCCUUUCAUGUUUGAAAUUCAAAAAGUUUUAUGUACAAAACCGUUAAUUCAAUCGAUGAUCCGCUUUCACCAUUGACUUUCUCGCGACGAGUUCUUCGAAACUAGAUCCCAUGUUGAUAUGUUCCGUCAACUAUUUUUUUCCGUUCAUACUUGCCACAUUUUUGGACCCACUUGUCAUAUUAUUAACCACUUACUUGCCUAAGAAAAAUAACUUGAUUGUCACUUUUUAAUGUUGUUUCGUACAAAAAAGCCUUGUAGCAGAUUUCAUUAUACAUGAUAUAAAAGCAUGUCAUAGGUUGUGUUUGCCAAGUUAAAAUAUAUCAACUUGUCAUAUUUACAUAUAACUUUGCUAGAAAACUAUUUUGUGUGCUUGUUAGUUUAACUAUGCCGAGUUGUCAUAUUUACAAAGGAUGACCAAAUAUUCUUGUGGUCACCGGUUUUAAAAUGUUGAGUUGUCAUAUUUUUGCGCGUAAUCGCCUAAAGAAAGUUGUUUGUGCUUGCCAGUUUGAUUAUGUCAAGAUGUCAUAUUAUACGCAAUUUCUAAAAAUAUGGCGAUUAAGUUAUUUUUUGUCAAACAAGUACUUACUAAUAUGACAACUAAGUACAACAAAUGUGGUAAGUACGAGCAAAAAAAAAGUUAUCGAAACAUGUCGACAUGGGAUCUAGUUUUGAAGAUUUCGUCGAAACAAAGUCAACGGCGAAAACGGACCAUCGAUCGAAUUAACGGUUUAAGAGAUAAAACUUUUAAAAUCCGGUCAUUUAAAGCGAAUCCGAUGACAUCAUUGCAUGAAUGCAUGCAUGCAUGAAGAAGAGAGCACACACAAAUCGAUCCGCAAGCCGCCGCACGGUAGUGACAAAAUGCGGUGCAGUUAGUUAGAUUUUCCCAAUAAAUUUCUGGUCCACAACUUCUCACUCAGCCCCUUAGACAUGGCUCUGUAUUCAGCCUCUGCAGUUGAUUUGGAAACAACAGGUUGUUUCUUGCUUCUCCAAGAUACUAGAUUUCCUCCUACAAAGACACAAUAGCCUGAAGUUGAUCUCGUGUCAUCCAUGAAGCUAGCUCAAUCAGCAUCACAAUAACCAUCUACAACAAGGUGUCCAUAACUCUUGAACAACAGUCCUUUCCCAGGAGUACCUUUCAAACAUCUCAAGAUUCUAUGUACUCGAGAUGUCCACUUCUAGGCUCAUGCAUGUAUCUGCUCACAACACUUACUGCAGAUGCAAUGUCUGGUCGUGUAUGACACAGGUACAACAACCUCCCAACUAAUCUUUGAUAUCUCUCCUUAUUCACUGGCUCUCCUGACUGAGCUGUCACUUUGUGGUUUUCAUCAAUUGGAGUUGAUGCAGCCCGACAUCCUACCCAUCCCUACAUCGCUUAGGAGAUCUAAAGUAUACUUCCUCUGAGAUAGCGCGAUCUCCUUGGCAGACCUGGCCACUUCUAUGCUGUAGGAUCGAAAGUAUGUCUAGAGGGGGGAGGGGGGUGAAUAGACUGUGAUGUCCCGUCAGCAGUACAUAUCGUGUUACUUUCAGAGGCCUGUAACAAUGCAUCGUUUCUUAGUACGUUCUGGGACUUAGGCCUGUGCCAAUGCAUCGUUUCUUAGUACGUUAUCAUAGGAGCAUUAAUAAAUUAAGAGACUACUAACCCAAUGCAUUGUUUCUUAGAGGUUGUCUCUAAAUCUAAUGAUUUGGUGCUCAUGCAUAGAUGUGAUUGGGCUGUUAACCAUUUUUACCUAUGGUGGCGUGCAAAUGUUGUAUCUUAGCUAAGAUAGAACCCUACUCUCUCUCAUCAUUAACUAGUGUGACACAUCAGCAAAACGCCUAUGAACCGGCGCUAAGAAACCUCCAUUGGCACAGGCCCUAGAACAAGGACGAGCUCCUCUCCUUUAGGUUAGAUAGUCACUAUGGGCCUGGGCCACUUGGGCCAGCAAUACAUGGGCCAUGAGCCCCUCAUCCAACACAUCUCAACACCACGCAUGCUGCGACCAACGUCAUAGUUUCCCCCCUCGGCCAUGCAUGGGACACACAGGUUGGUACUGGCGCGCCGCUCCGGCGAGAAGCAGCCGCAUGCCGGCCUAGCAGCAGCGCUCGGGCACCACAGCACCCUCGCAGCAGACAGUGUGCACCGCUCGUAGCAUCGCCAGUCGGCUCGCCGCGGCCACCAGCCGGUUCGCAGCACGCGUCUACCGCCUUGCGGCGUCGGCAACAGCCCCCUUCAAGCAGCUCUCGGCCUGGCCUGCAGCAUAUGCCAUCGCCGUCCUUAGAGCAUCGGCGGGNCAGCGCUCGGGCACCACAGCACCCUCGCAGCAGACAGUGUGCACCGCUCGUAGCAUCGCCAGUCGGCUCGCCGCGGCCACCAGCCGGUUCGCAGCACGCGUCUACCGCCUUGCGGCGUCGGCAACAGCCCCCUUCAAGCAGCUCUCGGCCUGGCCUGCAGCAUAUGCCAUCGCCGUCCUUAGAGCAUCGGCGGGCUCGCGGCGACGCCGCCUCGCUAACUUGCAGCAUCGAGCGGGCUUGCAGUGGUUCUGCCUCACUGGCUUGCAGCAUCGGCAGGCUCACAGCUGUGCCGGCUCGCUAGCUUGCAGCAUCCUCCACCACCGCUCGGAUCAUCAUGAGCGGCUCGCACCAGCCUAUGGCCCCUACCUCCCCAUCCUGCAGCCGUCCAACGCUUUCCUUGCAGCAACAGCGGAAGCCUUUGCAGCGCCCGGCGGCAUCCCUGCAGCAGUGGACGGCUCGGCUUGUGCAAUGCAUCUCUGCUGCAGUCGGCGGCGGC